GACGAACGCUGGCGGCGUGCUUAACACAUGCAAGUCGAACGGAAAGGCCCUGCUUGCAGGGUACUCGAGUGGCGAACGGGUGAGUAACACGUGGGUGAUCUGCCCUGCACUUCGGGAUAAGCCUGGGAAACUGGGUCUAAUACCGGAUAGGAGCCAUUUUUAGUGUGAUGGUUGGAAAGUUUUUUCGGUGCAGGAUGAGCUCGCGGCCUAUCAGCGCGUUGGUGGGGUAAUGGCCUACCAAGGCGGCGUCGGGUAGCCGGCCUGAGGGGGUGGACGGCCACAUUGGGACUGAGAUACGGCCCAGACUCCUACGGGAGGCCGCAGUGGGGAAUAUUGCCCAAUGGGCGCCAGCCUGAUGCAGCGACGCCGCGUGGGGGAGGACGGCCUUCGGGUUGUAAACGCCUUUCGCUAGGGACGAAGCUUUUUGUGACGGUACCUAGAUAAGAAGCACCGGCUAACUACGUG
rnacentral:rRNA from 1 species